UGGAUCAACCUUUCAUACAUAAAAAAAUGUAAAAAACUUUUUUUUCCCAUAAAAAUUUUGAGGGUAACGGAUUUGUGACAAAUUUUAAAUAUGAUUUUUGUGACGGACAUAUUUUCGUCACAAAUUAAGGCUGCUAAGAAAAAAUGACAAUUAUUUGUCACAAAUCCGUGACAAAAAUUGUGACGGAUUGAAUAUUCCGUUACAAAUAUAAUAACAAGACAAUUAAUAAUAAAUAUAUAAAUUUGUGAUAGAUUUGUUUCCCUCACAACAACAAAAUUAGGCAACUUUUUAAUUUUGGCCCCAAAAAUUUUCACUACUUUUUAGUUUCCCACCAAAAUUUGACCCCAUUACAUUUCAGCAAAAUAGUUUUGCUUCCCCCAAAAUUAGACCCCAUUACAUUUCAGCAAAGUAGCUUUACUUUCCCCAAAAUUAGACUCUUCUAAGCUUCGACUCAGUUAAUUUCUCGGUGAUUUCAGCAAAGUAGCCAGCCGUUCACUUCGACUCCGUUGUCAUCUUCACUAAGAGAAAACUUCAACAACCUCCAUUUUCAAUCAAGGAUCAAGAGGAGAAGGCAAAGAGGAGUUCUUUCUUAAAGGUUUGCAUUUUAUAGAGCUUCUUACUUCUUUUUGCUGAUUUGUUGGACUUGAUGAAGAGACUUUGGCGCCAUCACUCAUGUAAGUAUUUGGCGGCACUUUCCGGGUAACUAAUAUUCAUCGUAGAAUCAAGUGAGUUUAGGAUAACUAGAAUUCUUGAAACUUAACUAAAGAGUUUUUUUAGUUGAUUUUGCUUUUCAUUUUCUUAUAUUCAAAGUAAAAUUGUUUCAUUAUUGAUACAGGUGGAUCUGUUGGAGUACAUUAGUUUAUUUGAAUUUGCUAAGUUUAGAGCAUGAAGAGAACAAUGCAAACUAAGAAAGUUAAUUAGUCUAGCUUACCUACCUUAGCAGAUGUUUUUGGUAAUAGGAUGCUGGUCCUAAUUCACGGUUAAGAGAAUUCAUUAAUUCAAUUCAAGUACAAUCUAUUGUUGGACUACAUUUCAUUUUAGAUGGUAAGUUGCUUCUAUUUUAAAAUCUUCUAGAGAUGGACUUUGUUUGACUUGAAAAUAAGUAGGUUUGGUAUGUGUGCUGCUAGUAUGGGGGUUAUUUCAACAUUUCAUUGAGUCGGAGGGCAUUUCAACCAUUUAUCUUCAGAAAUGGAGGAAUGGUAGUUAUGCCACACAAUUGUUCGAUGAAAUGACUCAAAGAAAUUUGGAUGUGUUAAAGUCUGAGUAGCCUUAAUUCAUGAAAAUCCCCAGUAUGUGAAGGGGGGGGGGGGGGGGGGUGAGUCCAAAUGAUUUUCUAUUCAUGUCAAGGGGUGUUCAUUUUUAGUGUUAUUAGUUAGAAAUACAUCUGAAUGAUGUUUUGAGAAUAAGAAAUACAUCAAUCCCAUUUUUAAACUAAAAAAAAUGAAAAGAAACUGUUUUACAUGGAGAUUAAUAUACAAGUUCAGAAUGAAAAUUGAUCACUUUUCCAUAUCCUUUUAAGGCUUUCUGUUAAGUGUUUCAGUUAAUAGUAAUGAGAGCUAUGUAGUUCUAAUUGUUUCUGGUGAAAGAAAAAAAGGUACUUUAUAUGUAGUAAAGAUUAUUUCUUGAGAAUGCUAGUUACAAGUUUUUAAGUUAAAAGAUUGUUAUGACUUUAUUGACAAGGCUGAGUGGUUGGGUCCCAACUCUAUAUCUUCAGUUUAUGACCAAUACACCUUUGUGGCUUAAAAAAUCAUACAAUCCAUGUCUGACUACUAAAAUUUUAGAAAUUGAGUGCUUUUGUUCUGUUCCUGUUCUUUAAUUUUUUUACCAAGAGAUGUUUCCUUUUUUGCUCUGUUCUGAUUCAUCUAUUUUUUAACUAGAUUUCUUGAUGGUUUUUUUAAGAAAGGUUAAAGGAGAAUUGAAUUUUGUCCUUCCUCUAUCAGAUGGGAGAUGCAUCGUUGACUUGAUAGACAUUAAGCACUUAACUGGUCAUAUUCAUAUUUCUCCUUAAUGUUCCGCAGCUUGAAAAUCAUGGUUUUGGUCUGGAACAUACAUCAUUGACUUUAUUGACAUUUAAUAGUUUACUGAUCAUAUCCGUAUUUCUCACUGUCAAUGACUACAAAGAUAACAAAGCGUUACAUGUACUUUUUGCUAUGUAGAGUGCAUUUCUUCUGAUUAUGAGAGGGCGAUUAUAUCUUUUGACUAAGUCCAAAUGGUUUCAUCAAAUUAAUCGAUUGAUCCAUUUUUGUAUUUCUGGGUGUCGCGUCUUGUAUCUUUGCUAGUAGGGUUGUAGUAAAGUUGUUUGAUUUGUUAUGUUAGUGAAGCGUAAUAUAACUAAUGGAAAAUUGCCUUUGAAGGCAAUAAAGUUAAUCACCUUCCUACAUUUUUAUUAACUAGUGAAGUUACCCGCGCUUCGCGCAGGCAUAAAAAACUUCAAUCAUUUAAUUUUUUAAAUGAUAUUUUUUAUUUUUUUAAGAAAGAAAAAAAUUAAAAAGAAUCAUGUAACCUUGAUCGAUGUUUUACUAAUUUAAAUUAUUCUAUCUUUUUUUUUUCUUUCACUUAUUAUAAAUUAGACUUCAAUAUACAUUCCUUUCACGUUUAGGAGAAAUUAAAAAAAAAAAAGUAAAAAUUAACCUACUAUAAUUUGUUACUUGAGCCAAAUUUUACUCAGAUUUCUCUCACAUCUAUCUUAAAGACGAAAUUUAUGGCGAAGAGCACAAUAUAUUCCAUAUUGACAAAAAUGCCUAGUUUUAUAUUUCAAAUAAUAGGAAGCUGAUCUUUUCUCUUUGUCGAUCAAAACUAUUCAAUUAGACAAUCAAUUUAUUUUCAAGGGAUAAAAAAUUCUCUAAUUUAUUUUAAAAAAAAUGAUUGAUACUCAAUAUGAAUGCUAGAUGGCCUUAGGUAUGUAGAGAGGUGAAUUGGAAAAAAAAGUUGAAAUUUAAUAAAUGCAUAUUAAAAUAUUAAAGCACCAUUACAAAUAAAUUACCCUAACAACAAUUGACAUGUAAAUCAUUCUUAAAACCAUAAAAUGCUUACACUUGUGAUAAUUAAAGUUAUUUCAUGAGAUAAAAUUCAGAAUGUUUUGCCUACUACCUUGGUUUUUAGAAGUUGUAGUAAAUAUGAAUAAGCUAAUGUUUCAAAAUCAAGUUUGCACCACAUUCUAAGGCAUUAGUAUGUAAACAUUGUUUCAUUUCUCUCGAUUAUUACAAAUCAGCCAUAGCAAAAAAGACGAAAAAGUGUGAAAUUGAGAAUACAAGAGAUGGAGAUUAAAGACGUUAAGGUUCUUAUCCUCGAUCUUCUGUUCCCUUCAUAGCUAUUGUUAUCUUCCUGCAACUCCUUUCUUCAUAUCACUGACUAUUUGGUUGCUCCAUCAUACUCAUUUCUUCACCGUAUCAUAAUAUAUAUAGUUUUCAAGAUUACUAUUAUUUUCUCUCGAAUAAAAACUACAAACAAAAUAUUAAAAAUAUGUGUACAAAUCAAUCAUAGCAAAAAAGACGAAAAAGUGAGAAAUUGAGAAUACAAGAUAAUGGAGAUUAAGAACGUGAAGGUUCUUAUCAUGAAUCCUUGGCUGCUUCUGGUCCCUUCAUAGCUAUUGCUAUCUUCCUGCAACUCCUUUCUUCAUAUCAUUGACUAUUGGUUGCUCCAUCAUACUCAUUUCUUCACCAUAUCAUAAUAUAUAUAAUUUGCAAGAUUACUAUUAUUUUCUCUCGAAUAAAAACUACAAACAAAAUAUUAAAAAUAUGUGUUACAAAUCAACCAUAAAAAAAAGACGGAAAAGUGAGAAAUUGAGAAUACAAGAGAAUACAGAUUAAGGACGUUAAGGUUCUUAUCCUGGAUCCUUGGCUGCUUCUAGUCCCUUCAUAGCUAUUGUUAUCUUCCUACAACUCCUUUCUUUAUAUUACUGACUAUUGUCAACUCCAUCAUACUCAUUUCUUCACCGUAUCAUAAUAUAUAUAGUUUGCAAGAUCACUAUUAAUUUUCUUCAUUUAGUAAAAAAAAAAAAAAAAAAAAAAGAAGAAGAAGAAGAAAAGAGAGGCUUUGUAAAUGAAAGGUUUUAGAAACUAAAAUAUAUUAUUGCAUUUACAAAAUUUGCUGUUAUUUUGGCUUUUGUAAGGGAAGUUGAAAGAAUGAAGGGAAAAUGGAUCACGUCAGCUAAGUUAUACCACCUUAUAUAUGGAAGUUUCAUUUCUAAAGUUUAAUUGCAUAUUAACUAUACCGGUAAUUAUUAGCAUUAACAAAACAUUAGUGGGGAAUACCAACGUCAGUGUUUUAGUUAAAAUAUGCUUGUUGGUCUUCUUUUGGGAAGGCUAACAGACUGCAGUAGUAAUAAAAGGCCUAAUAAAAAUUGAAUCUCUUAUUAAGCUUGUUAUUAUAUGGAAUGGGAAAGGUUGGGGAGUAAUAGUUCAGAUUUUUUGUUACAAUAAAAUGAAUUAAAAUAGGUGAGAAAGGCAAAAAAAAGAGAAAAAAGAUAAAUGUCAAUGGAGGCCAUAGAGAGAUGCCACAUAGGAUUGUCUAUGCCUAGCUUUAUAUUAUAUAUAGAUUUGAGAAGUGAAAAAGUUUACUUUGAAAUUUAUUGACAUGUCAUAUAGUUAUUGCAUGUUUCGUGACAAUGUAUCGUGUGGUUGGAUAUUCUCAUAGGGAAUAAAAUUGCAUGACUUUGGUAAGCAUCUUGGUGAGCUAUUUUAGCCGAAAGUCUAAUCGUUUCUAUUGACAGGGUAUAACAAGGUUUCUCUUAGCGCUAAUUCCACAUUAAUACAAAAGUACUUGACGCCCUCCCUCUCUUUUCUCUGAGGUGGUGCUGAUCUUAUAAUCAUAAGCAAGUGUUUGAGAUACAAUUGUCCUCUACUUUCUGGUGAUUGAUUAAAUUUCUCAAGAUUAGGAAUUUGUUCAACUUUUCAAUUGUGGUUCACUAGUUUAAGAUAGUUAUGUCAUAUUUUUGUCAUAUACAAAAGAUUGACCAUGUUGUCCUGGUGCAUUGUGCACAUUUCAAUUUAUUUUGGGCAUAAUUGUAUGAUGAUAGCAUUGACUUGAUGUCGACCAUUUGCUAUUAUCUGAUCUCUUACCUUUGAUACAGCAGAAUAAUUAUUUUGAUAAGUGAUCUGAGGCUAAAACAGAGCAGGUGAUGUAAGAGACUAGAGCAUCGUUUUCUAACAAUGCAUAGAGGAGGAUAUUUCAAGUUUGAGCAAACAGAGAGAAGGUCGGUUACAUUAUGUGGAGGAGCGAUUUAUGCGUGCAUGAUGAGUAAGAUGGUAUUAUCAUUCCUUCUUCGAUUCUCGUCCCUUCGAUACAGACUCUUCGGAUGCUUUAGUGGUUACUAAUGUUAGACUUUUGUUAACUUUAUACUCGGUCUUUAGAAUUUCUAGAUUUUUAUAGAAGAAUUUACGGAUUUGCAAUUUUUAAAUUGAUUUGUAAUAUAUUUCAUAGUAUGAAAGUUACAUUUUUGUUAUUGUUAAUUA